UUUGUCUCUCACUGAAUUCUUUCUGCAAUGAGACAUCAAGAACCUGAGCUUUAUUAAGUCCUGAAACCAGCUGUGUGAUCUCAGUUAAAAGACAGUGGGUUCUGGCUGGGUUAGAGUCCCAGCCCACGGGUUCAAGUUCCAAUCUGAGUUUAGGCUGGGUUUGAGUCCCGGCACGUGGGUUCAAGUCCCAAUCCGAGGUGCUCAGUUUCAUUGACUCAGAAAGAAACUUUGACCUUCCCCCUUACUGCCUAAAUCAUUUAGAUAGAGGGGCUGUUCCUGGAAUAGAGCUAUCACCAGAGGUAUCUGCAAAGAAUGUGGGCUAGGUGUGGUGGGAGGAAAUUCUAGGAGGGGUCUAGAGAUCAGAGUCCACUCUGUAUCCCAUUGUCUCUGCCUGGUUCAUGAACAUUUGUUUACCAAACAUUUACUUUUUUAUCUGUGUCAACUGCCUUCCUCCUUUCUGAAAUUCCAACCCCCACCCUAACAUCCUCCUUUGUCUUUAGCUGAAGAUGAUAUUUAAGGUGAGUGUUUCUGCCAUUUUGGCAAGUUAAUCAGUCUUCCUGGGUCUCUUCCAUGCAUACAUGUUAUUAUAUUUUGUUUGGUUUUCUCCUGUUAAUCUGUCUCAUGUCAAUUUAAUCCUUAGGUCAGCCAGGAGAACCUAGAAGGGUAGAGGAAAAUUUCUUCCUCCCCUGAAACCGAAUCCCCCUGAAACCGAGCUCUCCCACCAAGCUUACGAUUAACCUCUAUCCAAAACGUUAUUCUCUUUCUUGUCCUGUACCUGUCCCCCUCAGGACUGAGGAGCAUCAAAGAAAAGGGGGGAAUGAAACCCUCCUGAGUACAAAAGCCUCUCCGUGUCGCCCAUUUCCUGUUUCUAGAAAAUGGCUUUUGUCUCUUAGGCCUUCUCUGAGUUCCAAAGAGCAGACACAAGCAUUGCUUAUUAGGGAAGUGAGGGAAUGCUGAAACAAAGAUAAAGCAGUUAAGUGAGGAAAAAAUGACAAUAAUUCAGUGAUAAAACAGAGUCCUAGUUCCUCUUCAAGGGAUAUAUUGACAUAACCAUCUGACACAUAAUUUGGUGUUGUUCUGCAGGAAGUAAGGCCCUCACCAAGGUGGAGGAUGGUGACUACAUGCUGAGUAUAAUCAGUAGAUCCCAAACCAGUUGGUCAGAACCAGAAGGUUGAUGAUGUCCCUGGAACACCAUCCUGUUAUCUCACUACCAACCAACCAGAAGAAAAUCAUGCACUCUGCAGCCCUCACCCCAAGUGUUGCCUUUAAAAACCCUUCCCUGAGGACCGUCGGGAAGUUCAGGUCUUUUGAGCACAAGCCACCCACUCUCCUUGCUGGGCUCUGCAAUACACGCUGUACUUUCCUUGACAACAACCCCUUGUCAGUAAAUUGGUUUUGCUUCACAUGGGUGAGCAAACCCAAGUUUAGUUUGAUAACACCCUGACACCAGCCAAGAUCCAAACCCCAGUCUAUCUUAGUCUAAAGCUGUACCAAGAACAUGCUGUGAACCCACUGUGUUCAGCUGCAAAUAACAGAACACCUGUAUAGCUGUGGCUUAAACAGAGAGGGGUUUGCAGGUCUCAGAGAGGAAGCUGAGACUGGGCAGCAUGGUCUGGGGCUCGGUUAUGCCAUCAGGGACCCAGGCUCUUAUCCUCUUUCCUCUUCUGUCACCUUUUGCAUGGAGACCUUUGUCCUCAUGUCUGUCAUCUUGUCACAGCUGCUACACCUCCCAGUAGGACAAAGGAGAAAGUGCAAAAACCUAGGCCAUCUGAGCUUUCUCUGUUUAUGACAAUAAACAAAAGCUUUAUUGGAAGCCCCUCCCCAUGACUUCUGCAUCAUCUUAUUGGCCAGACUGGGUCACACAGCCACCCCUGAAUCAUCGCUGGAAGGUGAGUGGGAAGGGGGGCUGGAGAUGGGGGCUAGUUCAACCAGCUGAUGUCUGGGCCCCAUCUCUGCAGCCUCAUGUUCCAUUUAGGUCAAUAAAUAUUUAUUGUGCACCUUCUGUUUGCCAGGUCCUGUGCAGGGCACUGGAGGCAGUCAUAGAGAUGAAUCAGAAGUAGCCACCACUCCACCCUGUUCUAGUGGAGGAGGUGAGGCUGGGGUGUCUUCUCCUGUCCAGACUCUGGUCACCCACACCCUCCACAUCCAGAGCCACUGCUUUGUCUGGGGUGGGGGUGGAUGGGUGCUAUGAUGUUGAGGAAUGUCACUGUGGGGAGUGACCCUUCAAGUAAGGUGGAUACCCCAGUAAAGGCAGUCCUGUUGGACCAUCUGAGGGUGGCUUGGGUUGUCCCAGGAGAGGCCCUGGUUGGGGGGAGGGUCCUGGGGGGAUGGUCCCGGGGGGACCUGCCUAUCUGAUCUGUCCUUGUAGGCCCUCAGUGGUGUCCUGCUCACUGACCAGGGCAUGCAAGGUGUGUGGGCACCUGUAGCUAAGGCUCCUGAUGGAGGAUGAGACUUGCCAUGUAAAACACUGGUAGGGGUGCUGGUGGCCUCUGGACACCGCUUUGGUCCCCCCAGACGUGGACCCCAGGCCCCACAGACUUCUUUCUCCACAACCCACUACAUUCCUUCCCCUCUGGAGCCCAGGAAGCUGUCCCAGCCUCGGGGUGAGAGGCCUUUCUCUGACCUAUCACAUUUCUGUCUCCUCUAAGUCAGUCUUCUGAAGUUUCUGUAACUUUUGCCAGAAACCAUCUUCCCCCCGGGCAGUGGAUAACACUGGGUCCUGCAGCUGUCAAAAUGGGGGAAAGGGUCAGGUAACAGAAAAUAGUUUUGGGGUGAGGAAGGGGCCACAAUGAUCUCGGGUGGCCUCGGCCUGCAGCAGCUUGAAGCAGGGUUUCGGUUCCUGGCCGGAGAUUGAGGUCUGGCCACAGCAGUAAGAAAGCUGAAUCCAAGCCACUAGACCACCAGGCACCAGGGGCCAGUGACAAGGCCCUGGCCCAUCAGCUGCGUAGAGAUGAAUUUCCACAUAGAGAUGGAAAGUAGUGAAACAAGUAAAGUGUUUAUUAGGAGGAAAUAGGGUACAUGUGGAUAGACACACAGGUGGGCUCAGAGAGCGAGUCACGCACUCAUGACAGUUUGAAUCACUCUUACGGAGCAUUUCUUCUGGGUUUCCUUUGGCCAAUCAUCUUGCUUUGCCUGGUUCUGAGUCCAUAUUUGGUAUAUCUCAGGGUCCUCCCCUGUGUGCACACACAUCUCUUAGCCACGAUGGAUUCCAGCGGAGAGGCUUAUGGAUGUACAAAGGCCAAGGGUUGCUGGUGGUGGAGGAGAGGGCAGAGUCAUCCUGUGGCCGGAAGGAGUGGACAACGGCGAUGGCAUGACGGGGCAAGACCUGGCAACGCCAACGGGCAUGAGUUCUGGUGGGAGGCACAACUUUCAGGGCAUCAGGCGUGCGAGGGUGGGGUGUGCGCAUGUGUGAGUAUAUGGGGGUCAGUUGGGAUGUUUCUGAAUGCAAGUGUCAGAAACCCAAAGCCACCCGAGCCGGUGUUAACAGUAGGGGUUUGCUAUUUCCUCUUACAGGAAGUCCGGCGGUCACCAGAACCAAGUCUGAGCCUACCGAUCUCACUAAGGACCCAAACUCUAUCCUCUGGUUUGCCAUGCUGUACGUUUGCUCUGUUGGCCCCUUCUGGUCAGAAGAUGGUGACAGCAGCUCAGGCAAUCAUGUGUCCUCACAGACAAAGCCCCAAGGCACGCUAGGGUUGGCCUUGUCUCCUGGUCUCUCUCUUUUCCUUCGGGGAUGGAGGAUAUUUUCCUGGAAGCCCCAGAGACUGGGAAAGCGAGGUCUGGUACUUCCAGGCUCAGGUGUGGGAGGUGAGCAUGGUCUCCAGGAAGGAGGGAGAGGCGAAUGGCUGUUGGUACAAGCUGUAGCGCCUGCUCCUUGGGUGUAUGCAGACGUGUGCAGAGGGGUGGGAGCGUCUGCAGGUGUAGCUGCUGCCUUGGGUAGGACCCGGGCCACAGGGAGUGUGGUCACCAGGCUGUGGACUUGGUUUCUUACCCUGAAUGAGCUACGGGGAGUUACAGCAUCAGAUCUGCAUUUUACAAAGAUGGUGAGAGUGGACCCGGUGGACUGCAAGGGCAGAGCCUGUUGCAAUCAUUUAGGCAAGAGCUGGAGCCCUGAGCAGUGUCAGGGGCUGCCCUGGGGUUAAGGCUGUGGCGUUUUGAGGGAUGAGGAGAGAGCAACUCCCCUUCUGCUGAGCUUCCUCCUGCCCCAGGAGCUGCUCAUUCUGAUCUCCUUUGCCGCCUCCUUCUCCUUUCCUCUCCUCCACCUGUACCCAAAGGCGGGCCCCCGGGCUCAGUCCUGAGUCCUCUUUCUUCUCCAUCAACGCCCACUUCCCAGGUGAUCUCAUCCAGUCCCGUGGUUUUAAAUGCUAUUUAUAUGCCAGUGAUACCCAAAUGGGUGACCAGCCCUGAUUCUUCCCUGAACUCUGGACUUGUUCGCCUGACAUCUCCCCUCAGAGGCCACUCCCAAACCCCUUCCCGUCUCCGCGGUCCUCUGAACCACUAGGCAUCCGGAGGCUCAGCCCGAGCUAAUUUUCUCCCAUCCCUCGUUCUGUCCACGGGCAAAUCCCGUGGCUGCUCCACUUCACCCCUGACACUCUGGUUCCGCUCACCUUCCCCUCUCGCCCAGACCCCUGUGGUGGCCCCCAAACUGGCCUCCCUGCCUCCCCCCAUUGUCCCCACACCCAGUCCGUUUCCCUCACAGCAGCCAGGGAUCAUAUUAUUGUUUUUUUAAACUUCUUAUGGGAAAUUUCAAACACACCCAAAAAAAGAGAUUAGUACAAUAACCUUAGUGUUUGUUUAUCACUCAAUUUUAGUUGUUAAUAAAACAUGCCCAGCCAGAAUGAUGUCUUUACAGUAUAAGUUUGGUGGGUUUACCCUCCUGCUUAAAACCUAAAAUCCAAUUCCUUACCAACCUCAUCCUUAACCUCUCUCCUCCUCGCUCUGGCCUCCUGGCCUCUGCUGAUCCUGGAACAUGCCACGGUGACCUCAGGGCCUUUGCACUGCUGUUUUCUAAUGGCCUGGAUCACUUCUUUCAGAUCUUUGCUUGACUGAUUUGUUCUCAACCUUGAGGUAUCCACCAUUUAGAAUGAACAAAUGUUAGAAUUUUGCCAUUAUGGCUUCUUAAUCUUUGAAAGUAGAAAAAAGGAAAAAGCAUGACAGAUGAAGCUGACAUUCUCUCUGACUUUCUCCCUCCAUCUGCUGCUCCAGGGAACCAGCUACCAUCACAAACGGGCAGGGACCUUCUAGGUCUUGUAUUUUAAGAAAGAUUUUCACUGUAUAUGUGUUCAGAACAACAUAUAAUAUGGCUUAGUGGGCUUGAAAAAAUUAUACAAAUGCUAUCAUUCCACAGCUAUGACUGUAACUUUCCCUUUUCACGUAACACCGUGUUUUUGAGAUCUGUCCACAUUGAUACACACAGAUUGCAUUCAUUUUAAUCACUGCUUAGUCAUCCCUGAGACAGAUACACCCAGUUUAUUUAUUUCCCAAUUGAUGGAAAAAUGCUACCACACGCAGUCUUGCACAUGUUUUUUCAUUCACAGGUGGAUGCUUCUGGAAGGAGUGCUUUUCAGACUGGGGUUUGCAACCCAUUAGGGGGUAGUGAAAACAACUCAAUCAGUUGUGAAAUAGAAUAGAUAGAGAAUAAAUGCAACAUUGCACGUAAUAAGGGUAAUUACUGUUUUGUUAACUUCGUGUUUCAGUUUCACGUGUCUGAGUAGUGGGCAGCUUUGUAGAGCAUACUCCUUACUGUGGGUGGCUCUCAAAGUCUGAAAACCAAGUCUGAGAGCCACCCACGGUAAGAUGUGCUGGGUCAGGGCAUGGGCAGUGUCUGAUGCUCUGGUCGACCAUGAACUCAUCCACGCACACACGGUGAAGCGUCAGACUUUUUUUGUUUUUUCAAAUGAGUAUGAGAUAGUAUCUAAUUGUGGUUUUAAUUUGCAUUUCCCUCGCUUACUAACGAAGUUGGACAUCUUUUCCUACGUUCAUUGGCUCUCUGGUUUUUCUCUUCUGUGAAGUGCCUUUAUCUAUGCGUUCUGCUGCGUCAUUUGAUUUUAUCUUACUGAUUUGUAGGUGUUCCUUAGAUAUUCCAUGUAUUCUGGCUACUGGUCCUUGGACUGUUUCAUGGGUUGCAUACAUUUCUUCCAGGCUGUCACUACCUUUUGGCUUUGCUCCUGCUGUCUCUACACCAGAUUCAGCAACAAGGAGUUUACCAGUGACUUGGGCCAGGACAGUGGCCAUGGAAGUGGGGAGGCAGGGGCUGAAGCUGUAUGGCCAGUGGCUGGUGACUGCAUGACUUCUUUCAACAAUAUCGUUUAAAUGGUCAAGUGAAGGGGCAUUGAGGAACAUUUUUUUUCUUUUAAUAAAAAUUGUAUACAUUU